UACAGAGGGUGCAAGCGUUAAUCGGAAUUACUGGGCGUAAAGCGCGCGUAGGUGGUUCAGUAAGUUGGAUGUGAAAUCCCCGGGCUUAACCUGGGAAUGGCAUUUGGGACUGCAAGGCUCGAGUGCGGCAGAGGAGACUGGAAUUCCUGGUGUAGCAGUGAAAUGCGUAGAUAUCAGGAGGAACACCGAUGGCGAAGGCAGGUCUCUGGGCUGACACUGACGCUCAUGCACGAAAGCGUGGGGAGCAAACAGG
rnacentral:rRNA from 1 species